CUGGAUCAAAGUCCUUGGAGCACAAUGGCUCAGUUUCAGGAAAUAGUUAAUAACCUUCUUCCUUCAACUCAAUUGUUCUAACCUCUUUGAGGGCUGGCUCUCUGUGGGACCAGGGAGGACUGUACAAGUUUCCUGACAAGGAGAAGCCAAGACAGAUUCUGAAUGAAUCCCACGGGAAGCAGACUGAAGGAUUCUUCCAAAACAAGAGGCCCUAGUCUGUGACUGUCAGCCUUGCCAUCAACACUCCUCUUUGGUGGAGAGCUCCCUGUUGGCCCUGAGGCAGGAGUCUUCUGAGAUCUUGACAUAUGCUGGGCUUGAUCCAGGCCUCAGUACAGGUGAGGAAACGGAGGCCUGUAGAAGUGAAGUGACUUGCUAAGGGGCAGGGCUGAGGUCUGAGGCCUGGUCUGAGUCCAAAACCCGGGCAGGCUCUGAGAGCUCCACCCUGCUGCCAUCUUACGUCCAGGCAGGGCCUGCAAGGGACAGCAAUGAUGCAAAGACAAACAAAGGAAGAGCAACCCCAGCCCUGCCACAGAACCAGCUGUGACCACGGACAAAAGGAGUUAUUCGACCUCUCCAGCCUCAGUUCUUCACUUGUAUAUGAAACCAACAAGAGUAAAUAUAGAAUGGAGUUGAAACGCC
rnacentral:lncRNA from 1 species